AAUUCGUAAUGGUUAUUUCCUCUCCGUGUGGCUUCCGAUGACGACUAACAUAGCGCGCCACCUGUACGCGUAGUAGGCCUGAUCCUGAUUCUGUUUCUGGCAGUUUCUGAACAUGACGGCGCCAUUACUGUUUGUGUCGCUCGGUGCUGUUCCCUUCGUUGGCAAGUUUGCAGUUAUGUUCCUGUUUAUUCAAUGUGAGAACGAAUCGGAAAAGCACAUCGUCGAGCACAAUAUCAUUGUGAACUUCCACGCAAUAGAAUACUACGACUAACGAAACUUUUUCGGGGCAUUUUGGAAUGCGACGAGACGACACAUGUUACACGACAGAAACAAGGCAGGAUGAAUGAGCGGCGUUGAAGGAGAUGUAAAGUGGAUCACGAGCCACUUGCAGAAGAAAAAAAGGCAAAGCAGGGCAAACAAGCACUGCACGAAGGCAUGCAGAAGAAGGCACUGUUUCUGCCCCUGGAUUCCGCGAAAAUCAGUGAACAAAGACAACGAGAGUUCGAAGACAUGGGACGUUUGCAGACAGAAGUGGCAACGCUGGCGCAUAUUAAUCGUAUCCUGCAAAAGGCCAUCGCUUCAAAAGUUAAGGUAAGUUUGGUAAGGAGAACUUUGCGUAUGUAUGCUAGCUGCGCCAACUUGUUUGUUUUCAAGUUUAUUGAUGGAUGUACAUGUGGUCUUUAUUCAGAAGUGAUUUUUAUGAUGCAGUUUUGAUGUCUUCCUGCAUGUUGCACUUACUGGUGGGGUGAAUACUUUUGGGCAAAUUUUGUGAAUAUAUAUAUAUGAUUAGCAUUCUUUGUCUGUCAGAGAGCAUCGAGAUAACUUUCAAAGCUAAGUGUACAUGCACUAGAGGUACAUACAUGCACCAUGUCACACUGUUGCUCCGCUCUAACGGGUGCUGUUGACCAGAUAUGACUGUCUUUUUGUGACUGCGACCUUUUUUUCUUUUUCUUUUUCGUUUUCUUACUAGCAAUAAAUACUGAAGCCAUGAAUGAGAAAGAUGCUCGAUUACUUGUGCCAGUGUGUUGAAGUGUCAUUUCUGCUAAAUUUGACAGGACAAUAAUUUGUCGCAACUUUUAGUAAUAAAUGUCAGAGGUAAGAAUUACACGGUUACAAACAUCUGAUAGUAAAAACAAAAAGCUUGUGCAGCAGGCUCCAUAUCACACUUUUUAAAAGUAUUGUAAAUGCUUGUGAGCUUAUGUUUUGGACAGUAAUAAUUCAGAGUGCAUGUGUUCAGGGUUUCAGAAAUAUGAAAUCGACAAAAAAAGUGUUUUUACAAGUAGUUCACCGGGGGUUAAAGCGUCAUGUACUGUAACUACAAGCCCAAUUAUGCUUUCUAUUAACUAGAAACUACUUUGACAGAUUCCGAGAAGACCUGUUUGAGCACGUCUCCACUCUGUCUCUCUAGCAGCCAUGACAAAAACGGUACCAGAUGAUUGGAAUGUCCUCGCAUUUUUAUAAUUUUGUGUACUGUCAAGGUCUAGCUUUUUUCCUAGUUUGCAUGCAUAGAAUUGCAUAUGAAAGAUAUACGAAUAUGAAGCUUAACAAAUGCUGUCAUAUUAUGACACUGAUAUAGUCUCUUUUUUUCCUCUUUCGUACAGGCUACAAGAGGCCCCAUACAUACUGCUACAGUGAACAGUGCAUGUAUGAGUUUUGUAAGUCUACAGACAAUAAAUAGAUGUACUCUUCUUCAUACACAGGUUCUCCCUCAUCUUGCUCGUUUGCAUGCAAUUAUACAUCGUCGACACUUGUUACUUGUUACUGCAGAUACUGGAUGUGAAUAACACGACAAGAUUCAUACGACACAACAAAGUACACCAGACGACAGAACAACACACGACAAACAUCUACGACAGAGUCGCACACGACAGGAAUCUACAACAGAACGACACACGACAGACAUCUACGACAAAACUGCAAACGACAGGGAUCUACGACAGAACGACACACGACAGACAUCUACGACAGACGACAAGGUCCCAAUAUACGACAGCCUUGUUGUUUGUCGUAUUUUUCUGUCGUUUUUUUCGA